rnacentral:rRNA from 1 species
GUGCCAGCAGCCGCGGUAACACGAACUGCGCGAACGUUAUUCGGAAUCACUGGGCUUAAAGAGUCCGUAGGCGGCUCGGAAGGUGGGGUGUGAAAUCCCACGGCUCAACCGUGGAAUUGCGCUCCAAACCGCCGAGCUGGAGGGAGAUAGAGGAGAGCGGAACUGAUGGUGGAGCGGUGAAAUGCGUUGAUAUCAUCAGGAACACCGGUGGCGAAAGCGGCUCUCUGGGUCUCUUCUGACGCUGAGGGACGAAAGCUAGGGGAGCGAACGGGAUUAGAAACCCCAGUAGUCC